rnacentral:rRNA from 1 species
GACAGAGGAUGCAAGCGUUAUCCGGAAUGAUUGGGCGUAAAGCGUCUGUAGGUGGCUUUUAAGUCUGCCGUCAAAUCCCAGGGCUUAACCCUGGACAGGCGGUGGAAACUACCAAGCUGGAGUACGGUAGGGGCAGGAGGGAAUUUCCGGUGGAGCGGUGAAAUGCGUAGAGAUCGGAAAGAACACCGGUGGCGAAGGCGGGUCUCUGGGCCGUAACUGACGCUGAGGAGCGAAAGCAUGGGAGCGAACAGG